UACGUAGGUGGCAAGCGUUAUCCGGAUUUAUUGGGCGUAAAGGGAACGCGGGCGGUCUUUUAAGUCUGAUGUGAAAGCCUUCGGCUUAACCGGAGUAGUGCAUUGGAAACUGGGAGGCUUGAGUGCAGAGGAGGAGAGUGGAACUCCAUGUGUAGCGGUGAAAUGCGUAGAUAUAUGGAAGAACACCAGUAGCGAAAGCGGCUCUCUGGUCUGUAACUGACGCUGAGGUUCGAAAGCGUGGGUAGCAAACAGG
rnacentral:rRNA from 1 species